rnacentral:rRNA from 1 species
ACGCACGCUGGCGGCGUGCUUAACACAUGCAAGUCGAACGAAGAGCGAUGGAAGCUUGCUUCUAUCAAUCUUCGUGGCGAACGGGUGAGUAACGCGUAAUCAACCUGCCCUUCAGAGGGGGACAACAGUUGGAAACGACUGCUAAUACCGCAUACGAUCUAAUCUCGGCAUCGAGGAUAGAUGAAAGGUGGCCUCUACAUGUAAGCUAUCACUGAAGGAGGGGAUUGCGUCUGAUUAGCUAGUUGGAGGGGUAACGGCCCACCAAGGCGAUGAUCAGUAGCCGGUCUGAGAGGAUGAACGGCCACAUUGGGACUGAGACACGGCCCAGACUCCUACGGGAGGCAGCAGUGGGGAAUCUUCCGCAAUGGACGAAAGUCUGACGGAGCAACGCCGCGUGAGUGAUGACGGCCUUCGGGUUGUAAAGCUCUGUUAAUCGGGACGAAAGGCCUUCUUGCGAAUAGUGAGAAGGAUUGACGGUACCGGAAUAGAAAGCCACGGCUAACUACGUG